GGACUCAUCCAUAUUUUGUGAUUCAUCUCAGCAGCAUGGCGCAGGGAAAGUUGAAAGUGAAGACCAAACUUCCAGCCGGCGCUAAGAAGCAGAAACAGCGCCCGAAGAAGCCUUUAGGCCUCAAGAAAGGAACACGACAGAUUGCACCAAAAAAGAACAAGAUUGUUCAAGCAGUUAAGCUUCAAAAGGGUUUGGAGAAGGAACUCAGGAUGAACAUUGAGCAGGAGAUGAGCAGCAGAGCCAGCCAAGAGGGAAAACCGUUCACUGUAGCUGGUUUAAGCCAAGACUCAAGUUCAAAAGACUCCAACAAGAAAAAGUAACAGUCAGCAAGGUGAUGAGAGAAAGUUGAAAACAACUGUUUUAUGUUUGAAGUACAAAACUGCUACAUGUGCUGUGUAUUUUGUUUACGAAAGUUUACCUUCCUGUCAACAUACAGAUGAAUACACUUAGCUGUAAACUGUCCAAAAACAGCACAAAAACAUCAUGAACAAACUAAUGAUACUGUUUAACACAUGAUACAUGCAUAUCUAUAUGUGUCCACAGUAUUAUGAGGACUUCUAAGAAAUGAAUAUUGAAGUAUAUUGUCUAAGAUACAUAUUUUAUUUACCCACAAUUAAAUCAAGUACGGAACAAAACAGAAAAUUGCAGACUUUAAUUUAAACUGUGCAUACACUAAAUCACCAUUGGAGAACGCUAGCAGUAUUUGCUGGAUUCUGAUCCUCAGCAAGAGCCAAUGUGCCACUAAGGGAUACUUUGCCCCUUGAAAUAGGCACAUUUGACAUUGUACAAGACAUUGUACAAAUUGUGAAAUCUUGGAAAAUUAUGAUAAGUACAUGUACAUACACCUGAUACUAGUACCUAGGUGGGUAGACUGGUACUAGUAACUUACUAAAAGUACUACUAAGGUACGUGUAGGCAAGAGAAUGGAGCCAGAGUAGAACAUGCAAAUAUUUGAAAGAGCACAAUAAAUAUGAUGGAUGAUGUUGAUAAUGAAGAUCAGAUUGAUGUAUGUUUUGACAAGUAGUCUUUUCAUUAAAACUCAAGCUGUCCAGAGGCAAAAUCGUACAAUACACUCAGACAAUGUGAAAGGGAGAAGGCUUCCUUUGGGUGCAGAUGACCUUGGUGUCUGCCAAUACUGACCAUCCCUCCAUGUUCUUGAGAAAGCAGCAUAUGAAAUGAUAUCAGACAUGUUGGGUUUUAAUGUUCAAUAUUGACAGCUAAUAUCAGAAAUGGGUGGAGAAGGAAUAGUGUGCUAAUAAACCUAUAAAUCAUGUGUGGGAAACUAGGGAUCCAAUGAACGUAACUAUCAAUGAUUGAAAUCUGAAAAAGCCAACUAAACAGAAGCACAAUGGCAUC